UGUUGUAGACAAUGCAAUGUGAAACUAAACCAUCAGACCACUAAGUAUUUACAGCCUUAUGGGAUCAGACCUCCUAGAAACGAAGGGUGUGUUGAUAUGUGAAUGGACAUUUAAAUAUACAAGACCAUCGCGGAGAAACAAUAGAUAAAUAUGGACAUUUCAUUUUAAAUACUUUCAUAUUGAAUAUUGAGAAGAGACAACUACUGUAUAUGUUACAACAUGCAUAAAAAUAAA